GGCGCGGCUGGCGAGCCGGGUCGUCGCUAUAGCAAUGGGGAGCCGCCGCCUGUAUCCUCCGAGGGACUCCGUCCACCUGAGGCCUGAGGCGGCAGCGGGGAGGAGCCCGAGGCCCCGAGGGCUCCACGCUGUCUCGUCGGCUGCCUGCGGGCGAAAAGGGCGCUCAGGAGCCGGGGAGGACAGGAGGGUUAGGUUGUGAGGGAAGCCGUUCCCGCGGGUCCCACUGCCCGCACUGGGGCUGCGGACCUUCUCCUUGGGGUUCAGAGCCCGGGGGCUUCCUCCUGCGCCUAACCGCCCCGAAGCGCCUUACUGGGCGCAGUCCGCAGGCACUGCCUACGAUCUUCGAACCAGCCCCCUGAAGGAAGCAAUUGCAGCCCAGCAGCUCCUGCCCAGGUCUCUCCUCAGCUUGGUGCCAUCAGGGACCAGAAGUGGACAGCCCCUGGCCUGGAGCUCCGAAAUCCAAACCCCACAGCUCUGAAGGGCUACGGGUACAGCCACAGGGAAACCAUAGGCCACAGCUUAAGUUUCUGGCAAUGUCUGAGAGAAGAGAAGAUCCUCUCUCGUACUUUUGGAGGACAAGAAGUCUUUCGAAGAUGCUGGGGUGCCAACGAAGUCGGGCAGAAUUCUGAGGAUUGGGUGAGCUUCCUCCACAUCUGGGCAGAAGAGGCAGAUCCCUGCUCUGCUCCCCACCAUCCAGUCUGGUCCCAGCCCACCCCUGGCCCUGCAGACAAUUCUGCAGGAGCAGAAGCAAGGCUUCUAUCACUGGGCACUGUGAACUGGGGAGGCUGGUCCCAUGGCCCUCGGCCCUGUCCACUUCCGCAGGGACUCACAGCUGGGUAGUGACACGGGAAGGUGACAAGGAAGAAAUCAUGAGAUGGCACUUGCAAGUGGUAUUACAAAAGCAGUAGCAUAUGCCAUACCCUCACCAGCAGGAGCAAAGUGUCAUGGGGUUCUCUGGGCCUCCCACACUCUCUCGGGCUUUCUGCCUUCACUUCUGCUUCUGACAGUCAUUUCCUUCUAAUCUGAUCCUGCUUAGGGAAUACCUCUGCCAGGGCCCCAUCACACUCAGAGACUUCCCCUCCCCUGCCAAGUCUCCUUCCAUGAGCCUUUGCUUUUUCUCUGGGCUCCUCAGCUUCCCCAUCUGUAAAAUGGGUCCAGUGACCUUCCUUGACAAGGAGUCUAGUCUAAUGGAGAACAUGUACACGUCAGAAUUAGACCAUCCCAAGGACAAUGUCGGGCUCUCCCAUUUUCCAGCCAUCUACCUGUUUCUGCUAAGUUAUUUCACUUCUCUGAGCCUCAGCUUCCUUAUCUACAUCACGGUCACACUACCUCAAAGGUGGGCAUGCAUCACUGCUUAACUACAUGGGCUCAAGAGUAAAAGAAACCGUGUGAUUCAAAUCUCAGCUCUGUUGGGGCACCUGGGUCCUUAGUCAGUUAAGCAUCUGACUCUGAUUUUGGCUCAGGUCACCAUCUCAGGGUUGUGAGAUCAAGCCCCGUGUUGGGCUCUGUGCUGGGCGUGGAGCCUGCUUAAGAUUCUCCCUCUCCCUCUUCCUCUGCCCCCCACCCUGCUCUCGUUCUCUCUCUCUCUCUCUCUCAAGAAAAAGGGCAGGGCGCCUGGGUGGCUCAGUUGGUUAAGCGACUGCCUUCGGCUCAGGUCAUGAUCCUGGAGUCCCGGGAUCGAGUCCCGCAUCGGGCUCCCUGCUCGGCAGGGAGCCUGCUUCUCCCUCUGACCCUCCCCCCUCUCAUGUGCUCUCUGUCUCUCUCAUUCUCUCUGUCUCAAAUAAAUAAAUAAAAUCUUUAAAAAAAAAAAAAAAGAAAAAGGGCAAAUCUCAGCUCUGUUAACUUUCUAGCUAUGUGACUUCAGGUAACUUAUUCAAUCUCAGUGAGCUUCAGUUUUCUCUUCCCACAAAGGGAAUAAAAACACCCACCUCGAAAUGUUACGGCGUUAAUUAAAUGAAAUGAUGAAUGGAAACCCCCUUGGCACAUAGUAGGCAUUCGGUAGGCAGCGGCUACUGCUGUUCUUCUGACUACUCAGAAGGAACAAUGGCAAUGGUUUUUAAUAGUAAACGUAUAGUAGUACCUGGGAAGAAGCAGUCUUGUCCUGGGCCAGGGUUUAAUGCUACUGGGUGUGAGUACAACCGGCUUGGUUCAGUUCUCACCACCCCCAAUAGGUUCCGUCUGUCACAUGUUCUUUUUUUUUUAUUGUAUUUUAUUUGAUUUAUUUAUUUGAGAGAGAGAGAGAGAACAAGAGCGGGGGAAAGGGUAGAGGGAGAGGGAGAAGCAGACUCCUUGCUGAGCAGGGAGCCCCACGUGGAGCUCGAUCCCAGGUCCCCAGGAUCAUGACCUGAAGCCAAGGCAGACGCUUAACCGACUGAGCCACCCAGGCACCCCCGUCACACGUUCUUACUGAGACGUUUCCAGAAAUGCCAUGCAUCCCAACACACUGCACUCAUCCGCAGCACUUUCAAGUUGGAGAGUAGAAGGACACUCACCUGCCAGGUGGGGCAGCUCCAGAAUCCCUCUUUCUCUACCGUCUUGUACCUCCUACCCUGCAUGAAGAAGACCCAGACACUAAGACAAAUUAGAGCUCAUAGCUACCAUUUACUGAGUACUUUCUAUAUGUGCCAGGCACUGUAACAGGCAAUCCACUGCAAGCCUGUCAGGCAAGAACUGUUAUACCCAUUUUGUUGAUGAGAAAACUAAGGCUCAAGUAGGUCAAACUGCCCAGAUGACCGACUAAGAAAGGACAAAGCCAGGACUUGGGCCCAGACUUGACUCUGAAGCUUGGGUGCCUCCUCCAUUCUCUAUGCUGCCUCCUCUGAAUCCACAGAGACCUAACAUUCUGGCCACUGUUCGAGUUUAAUCAUCUGGGGCAGGCUGAGGGUCACAGACCAGCCCCUUCACAUAUAAGAGGGAAUAGGGCAGUCAUCUUGCUCUGGAGGAUCAUGUAGGAGUACAACUUCAAAAGGCUUUAGCCAUCGGGUCUCCUGGGUGAUGCAUUCGGUUAAGCAUCCAACUCUUGGUUUGAUCUCAGGGUGGUGACCUCAGGGUUGUGAGAUCAAGCCCCGUGUCCCGCUCUGCACUCAGUGCAGUCUGCUUAAGACUCUCUCUCUCCCUCUCUCUCUCAAGUAAAUAAAGAAAUCUUUUUUAAAAGGGGGUCUUUAGGGGCGCCUGGGUGGCUCAGUCGUUAAACCUCUGCCUUCGGCUCAGGUCAUGGUCCCAGGGUCCUGGGAUCGAGCCCUGCAUCGGGCUCCCUGCUCGGCAGGAAGCCUGCUUCUCCCUCUCCCACUCCCCCUGCUUGUGUUCCCUCUCUCACUGUGUCUCUCUCUGUUAAAUAAAUAAAUAAAAUCUUAAAAAAAAAUAAAAAGGGGGUCUUUAGGCAUCACAUUUGUCUAAUGAGAGGUCACAUGACUUGCUCAAGGUCACACAAAUUUAAGAGGCAAAGCUAGAAGCAGAAUCCAUGUCUCCCCUGACUUCUGACUUUUGGAUCAGUGCUCCUAAGCCUGUACCCUCAGAGCUGCCAGUCCUACCUCUUCCGGUUUUCGCUCUUCCUCUUCCUGAUGAUUUGAUCAGUCAUGAAUCCUUCCAUCAGGUGGAAUAUGGUACUUAACCACAUAACUUCUCCGCAAUACAUGCCAUCCUAGGCCCUCUAGGGCCUACAAAAGAAAUAGAAAAUGUGAUUCCCUACUCCAAGAGAUGUAUCAACAUUAGUGCGUAUGGUUACAGACCCCUCCGCAUCAGAAGGCAAAUCCCCCCGAGGGCUGGAAUCUCACCAGGAAGACAAGAUCUGUAUAUGCAAAACCGACUAUGCAUAUGCAAAUGCAACAUCAAGCAAUCUGGGUGAAAGUGCCCCGGAAAGUCAGCAAACAGAAGUUGAUCAUCCAAGAAGACUUCAUGGAUGAGGAGGGAUUUUAGGUGAAUCUUGAUGACACUUAGAAAGAAAUCAAUGGACAAGAUAGAAAUAGAAACACUAAUCAGUGACUGACGGAGAAAAAAGAGAAUGCUCAGAACAACCACCACCAAAGAAAUGGAAGAAAGGAGGGAGGGGGGAAUCAUACCAGCUCAGCGGACACGUAGACCCUAUUCGGUCCUUGUGUCCCACCUGUCUGGGAUGGCUCCGGAGCCAUUUGGCCAUACAGGCAGAGGAUUGGAAGUAAUGCUCUCCGCAGAAGUCUGUUCUGGCCCUGGGAUUCUAGGACUAACUUGCUCCAAGGCCCUUAGUCUUGCCUUUACAAGAGAGGUCUACUGGCAGCCCUGCCAAGACCUGGGUGGGGAGGGGGGAUAGCCCAGUCCAAGCUGCCCAUACCUGUUCCAGUCUCUCCUCUGGCCACUUGGGUGGUCUCCUUGGCCCCUCGUCCCAGGGUCCUCCCAGCCCUUCCUCCCUGCCCACCCCCACACCUGAGUCACUUUGCCACCUGCUUCCUUCCCACCUGCUCGCUGGCUGCUUCCAUGGAGGAAACGAAAAUACCCAUCCUGCCAAUUGGCAUUGACACCAAUGCGUGGUUCCAGACCCCUCCACAUCACAAGGCAAGUCUCCAAACAGCCCUGAGUUUGUGCCCUGUCCCUUUCUACACAGCUGCUCUUCCACACUUUGGUUUCCCCUCUGCCAGCCUCAGCCCCCUGACUUCUCCCAGUAGUACCCUCAACUCCUAUAUCAUGGAGAAGCCAGAAGCCAUCUGGCAAGAACCUCCUAUCCCCCAACCCCCUCUCCCUCUACUGCUGAGAGAGGGGUCCCUCCUUUUGGCCAAGGCCAAUCCUGCAUACAUGGGCAAGGAUCCCAUCUUGUCUUGGCCCUAUAGGGAGCUGGGGCUGUCAGUUAUCCCCUCCCCCUCCUGAAUCCCUCACCUCAGCUCCUUCUCCUACAAAUGGAGGAUAACCUGCAGCACCCUACAAACUUCCCCAGACCCCGCUGCCUCUGUCCUUUCAGGCUCCUGAACUUCUAGGAGGAGCAUGCCUGCUCUCCAUUUCCACUUUGCUGCUUCCCUUAACCCCUCACCCUAGUGCAGUCUGGCCUGGGGCCCCUCUGACACACAUCUGCUGGGGCUCCAGUGACUUCCCUGUCUCCCUGUCGGGCUGCCUGCCAGUCCUUAUCUAGCCUGACCUCUCUGCGUCAUCAGAAGCCUCUGAACAUUUUUCUCCCCCUUCUUGGAUCCCUUUCUUUUCCCAGAUCCCCUGCUAACUGCCCUCCUUCCACUGGCCUCUUAAGUGUUUCUAGCUUGGAUUUUCUCAGCUCUCACAUUAUGUGACCUCCCUAGGGACUCUCACCCAGGACAGCAAGGGUGGUAAAAAGAAUAUUGGCUUUGUGGUCAGACAGUUCUAAGUUCAAAGCCCAGCGCAUCAGUGGGUGAGUUUGACCAAGUUUCUUCACAUCUCUGAGCUUCAACUUCCUCAUCCAGCAAAUGAGAAGGAUGAAAUUCUGACCUUGCAGGUUGUUGGAGGGUUACUGCUGAUAAGUCUCAUGGAAAUCCCAGCACAAAGUAGGUAGAGAGUUUACUCCACACUGUGGGGCCCUAUGGCUCCAGCUACCACCAAUGUGCUGAAGACUCCCAGAUCUACAUCCCUAACCCCUGCUUUUCUUCUAGCUUUUAUGCUAUAUGUCCAAUGUUCAGAUCUCUUUCUCUAGCUUCUUCCUCUCUUUUCUGUCUAGUUCUAUAUUUCUGCCUACUUAUAGCUCUUUCCAAUGGCAUUUUUCAAGACCUCAAGCUGAAUCGACACCCAACCAAACUCACAGUUCCUCUCAACACUCUCCCCUGAACUGUCCUCUUCCUGUGGCCUCCAUCUUGGGGUUAAUGGCCCCAUAACCCACUCAGCAGCCCCAGCUGGAUUUCUCUAGGACCAGAAGGAUUCUUUUUUUCUU